GGAGUGAUCUGAUGCUGAAACUUUAGUUCUUAUAUACUCCAGUGUAGUGUCUUCAUCAGAAGUGAUCUGAUGUUUAAACUUUAGUCGUUGUUUACUCCAGUCUUGUGUCUUAAGUUCGACAAUGGAAUUGUGUCUUUAUUUAACUUUGUAUUCAUUCUAUCGAUUUAGCUACUUCUGUUUGUCUUUGUCAGGUACGAGUUACAUGAACUGUGUGCAAAAGUUGGAUGAAAAAAUUACAAAAGAACAAAGUUUCAGUUGAUGAACCUCGCAUGUAGAUAUUCAUAGAGACGAGUAUUUUCUUUUGCUAUGAUCGACAUGUAAAUGAUUGUUGAAAAAACGAGUCGUGUUGCUCGGUGAAUGAUGAUGAAAAAUCACUAAAUGUACCUGAAGAAUGAUGCCAAGCAUAUCCGGGAAAUUUCACGAGAAAAGUCACGUGAACCGAAGGUAGAAUGUUCGUUCCGUUUCCUCGAGUUAUAUACGUCGGCAAAUCACGCAGAGGUUUCCAAGAAAGGCUGUAAAAUAAUGUGAAUCGAGCAACAACUAUAGUAUUUCGUAUUUCUUGCGUAAUUCGGAAAUUUUUUAAGAAUAUGAUAAUAGACUUUGAGAUAUUUCUCGAAAGUAAUAGCACUGUAAAUACUGUUUUCUGAUUGGCUGAAAAGCAGUGAAAACCAAACAACUUCUUUUCUUAAAAAAAAACAUGGCGGCAGUUGUCCGAAGAAAGAUUUCCACAAUUGCAAAUUGCUUGAAAUUCAAGAAUUACAAAGGAAUGCAAAGAAUAGAAACAAAGCAGUAAGUACAUUUUUUUUUGGGUGAAUGUUUUUAACAGUUAGGCCUCGUAACGAGGCUUUUCUGAAGCGAUAGAGACUAGAGAGUAAAGAGGCUUUCCCGAAGCGAAAGAGAGUAACGAACCAAGACAGAGAUAGACGGUACAGUCAAGAAAUAUCUCAAAGUAUAUUGUUAUUGAGUAAUAGUAUAGUUUCUCGUGCAAUUACGGUUAAACAUACACUUGUGAGUUUUUUAAAGACUGUAAAUAGCUAUGUUUUGCUGCAGUGCUUAAAGAAAUUCAUUCGUGCAUGUUUAUAUAUAAUUGCACUCGAAACUAUAUUAUAAACUAUACUAACAUUAAUUAUACUUAAAAUAAAACUUGUUUCCUCAAUAGAAUAACUUUACUUAUAAUAAUAUGAUUUAAAUAUUGGUUUAUUUAUGAGAUAUAAUUGACCUGAGUACACAUUUUUAGCUUGACAUUUAUACAACAGUCGUGUUUUGCUUUUGCUCAGGAACAUAUGCCGCUUAAACAUGAUUUUUUACUUUUUUUAAAUGCGUAACUUUAUACGUUCAACCGACUCGCUCAAAUCAAUAAAAUUAUCUCAACAUAAUUUUAUUAUGGCGACGUAUAAGUGAAUACUCAAAACAGUAUAUUGGUAGCCAGGUAAAGCUUUUCUUGUCUGCAUGCAUAAAUCCUUUCAAGAGUAACAAACAUAUCACUGUGAUAACGUAUAGCGUGCAUGGAAAAUCUGCUUCACAAACACAGCAAGAAAAAAAGUUUUCUCGUUUUCAUUGUGUUUAUUGCAAACCACAAAAGUUGUAAACACUUUUCGUACUUGCGCAAGAUGUAUAAAAAUCGUCGAAAACAUGUAUACCCUUUUUGGCUAGAAUAAAGAAAAGCACGUGCUUGCUA